ACGAACGCUGGCGGCAUGCCUAACACAUGCAAGUCGAACGAGACCUUCGGGUCUAGUGGCGCACGGGUGCGUAACGCGUGGGAACCUGCCCUUAGGUUCGUAAUAACUCCCCGAAAGGGGUGCUAAUACCGGAUAAUGUCUUCGGACCAAAGAUUUAUCGCCUUUGGAUGGGCCCGCGUUGGAUUAGCUAGUUGGUAGGGUAAAAGCCUACCAAGGCGACGAUCCAUAGCUGGUCUGAGAGGAUGAUCAGCCACACUGGGACUGAGACACGGCCCAGACUCCUACGGGAGGCAGCAGUGGGGAAUAUUGGACAAUGGGCGAAAGCCUGAUCCAGCAAUGCCGCGUGAGUGAUGAAGGCCUUAGGGUUGUAAAGCUCUUUUACCCGGGAUGAUAAUGACAGUACCGGGAGAAUAAGCUCCGGCUAACUCCGUG
rnacentral:rRNA from 1 species